ACGGAAGGCAGCAGUGGGGAAUAUUGCACAAUGGGGGAAACCCUGAUGCAGCAACGCCGCGUGAGUGAUGACGGUCUUCGGAUUGUAAAGCUCUGUCUUCAGGGACGAUAAUGACGGUACCUGAGGAGGAAGCCACGGCUAACUACGUGCCAGCAGCCGCGGUAAUACGUAGGUGGCAAGCGUUGUCCGGAUUUACUGGGCGUAAAGGGAGCGUAGGCGGAUUUUUAAGUGGGAUGUGAAAUACCCGGGCUCAACCUGGGUGCUGCAUUCCAAACUGGAGAUCUAGAGUGCAGGAGGGGAAAGUGGAAUUCCUAGUGUAUCGGUGAAAUGCGUAGAGAUUAGGAAGAACACCAGUGGCGAAGGCGACUUUCUGGACUGUAACUGACGCUGAGGCUCGAAAGCGUGGGGAGCGAACAGGAUUAGAUACCCUGGUA
rnacentral:rRNA from 1 species